rnacentral:lncRNA from 1 species
AUAUUAUAUAAUACAUAAUAUUAGAAAGAUGGUACAUAAUAUCUCAUACACGUACAAAGAUUAAAUGGCCAAUUCUCUUCUGGACCCUCGAUUCUUUAGUUUUCCAAGAAUGUUGAGCCGGGUAUGUAAGCCAUGUAUCUAGGCGUUCCUCGAGAAAGAUCCCUUCCUUAUUGAUACAAUUAGACCCGCCGCGGUAUGCUCAGCUACGCCAUUGAUCCUUGAGUACUUGUGCUAAGUACAUGCUCUCUCUCUUCUCUACAUAUAUCUAUGUAUCUAUAUAUUUUUGUUACUAUUAAAACCACAACUGCGUUGUCUGUAGUUUUCCCGCAUGUCACCCUUUGCAGUCUAUAACACAAACACAAUGAAAAUAUAUCAUCCCGCCCGUAGGAUUUUUAAGGUCAAAACGAGUGAGAUAUGAACUAAAUUAUCCAAAAUGAAUUAUAUGAAUGCAUUUUCCCUAAAUUAUUUAAAAUUAUACCAACUUCCUGAUAAAUCCAAAAAAAACUCAAAUCACCUAUUUUUGUUUCCUGGAAAAACCCAAUUUAUCCAUAAAAUUUACUCAAAUUAACCAAAAUAAUCUGAAACACCUGUAACCGAAAGGGACCCGGUUUUGUUUUUGAUAUUAGCUGGUUCCUCACUUUGUUGUCCAAACUGAACCAAAAACUAUAAUAACUGAACGAGAACUGAAUCAAAUUAUAAAUAACCGAACAUAUCUUAUAUCUUUAGAAU